rnacentral:rRNA from 1 species
AACGCAGCGAAAUGCGAUAAGUAGUGUGAAUUGCAGAAUUCAGUGAAUCAUCGAAUCUUUGAACGCACAUUGCGCCCUUUGGUAUUCCUUAGGGCAUGCCUGUUCGAGCGUCAUCUAACCCCUCAAGCACCGCUUGGUGUUGGGCGCUUGUCCCCGCCCCCGCGCGCGGACUCGCCUCGAAGACAUUGGCGGCCUGUGUAUUGGCUACGAGCGCAGCAGACCCGCGCCUCGUCCCCUCUCCGCGCAGGCGCCCACGAAGCGCAACCCCCCCAAUUUUGACCUCGGAUCAGGUAGGGAUACCCGCUGAACUUAAGCAUAUCAAUAAGCGGAGGAAAAGAAACCAACAGGGAUUGCCCCAGUAACGGCGAGUGAAGCGGCAACAGCUCAAAUUUGAAAUCUGGCUCCCUUGGGCGCCCGAGUUGUAAUUUGCAGAGGGUGCUUUGGCGUCGGCAGCGGCCUAAGUUCCUUGGAACAGGGCGUCACAGAGGGUGAGAACCCCGUACGUGGCCGCCCGCCUUCGCCGUGUAAAGCCCCUUCGACGAGUCGAGUUGUUUGGGAAUGCAGC